rnacentral:rRNA from 1 species
UACGUAGGGUGCGAGCGUUAAUCGGAAUUACUGGGCGUAAAGCGUGCGCAGGCGGUUAUGCAAGACAGAUGUGAAAUCCCCGGGCUCAACCUGGGAACUGCAUUUGUGACUGCAUAGCUAGAGUACGGUAGAGGGGGAUGGAAUUCCGCGUGUAGCAGUGAAAUGCGUAGAUAUGCGGAGGAACACCGAUGGCGAAGGCAAUCCCCUGGACCUGUACUGACGCUCAUGCACGAAAGCGUGGGGGAGCAAACAGG